CUCUCUCUCACACACACACACACACACACACACAUUCAGAUGCUGAUUCUCACUUUCGGGAAAUGUAGAUUAGCCAGUCCACCUACAUGCAUGUUUUUGGGAGGAAAUUGGAGAACCUGGAGGGAACGCACACAGAGAGUAACCCAAGCUCAGGAUCGAACCAUUGAAUGUAUCUAGUCAGAGACUAAACCCUCCUUCAGGUUAUAUCUGGUGCAUUUGUGGUCCAGAUAUUUGUUCACCCCUGUAGGAUGGAUUUGCUGAGUUCACCGGAUUGAAAGUGGGUCGUGAGUACUGCAAUCCGUCACUUUAGCCCAGUGUGGCAACAUUCCUACAAGUUGAGAGCGGAGGUCACGUGGUCUCUCCCAUACAUAGCGCUCUAACAUAGAUAAAGGGCCUGCUGACCUUCCGAGGCAGUCUCACUCAAUCUAGUUUGAAGGCUGGAGAAUUUCCAGGCUUGCAAACCCCUUCAAGACCUCUGGAUGCCGGCAGACAACGAGAG
ensembl:lncRNA